AUUGAACGCUAGCGGGAUGCCUUACACAUGCAAGUCGAACGGAGUGGCGAACGGGUGAGUAAUGUAUCGGAACGUGCCCAGUAGCGGGGGAUAACUAUUGGAAACGAUAGCUAAUACCGCAUACUGUGAGAGGGACCUGCGUUGUAUUAGCUAGUUGGUGGGGUAACGGCUCACCAAGGCGAUGAUCCGUAGCUGGUUUGAGAGGACGACCAGCCACACUGGGACUGAGACCCGGCCCAGACUCCUACGGGAGGCAGCAGUGGGGAAUUUUGGACAAUGGGGGAAACCCUGAUCCAGCCAUCCCGCGUGUGCGAUGAAGGCCUUCGGGUUGUAAAGCACUUUUGGCAGGAAAGCGGUACCUGCAGAAUAAGCACCGGCUAACUACGUGCCAGCAGCCGCGGUAAUAC
rnacentral:rRNA from 1 species